rnacentral:rRNA from 1 species
GUGGGGAAUUUUGGACAAUGGGGGCAACCCUGAUCCAGCCAUGCCGCGUGCGGGAAGAAGGCCUUCGGGUUGUAAACCGCUUUUGUCAGGGAAGAAAUCCUUUGGGUUAAUACCUCGGAGGGAUGACGGUACCUGAAGAAUAAGCACCGGCUAACUACGUGCCAGCAGCCGCGGUAAUACGUAGGGUGCGAGCGUUAAUCGGAAUUACUGGGCGUAAAGCGUGCGCAGGCGGUUUUGUAAGAUCGAUGUGAAAUCCCCGGGGACAAACUGGGAACUGCAUUGGUGACUGCAAGGCUGGAGUGCGGCAGAGGGGGAUGGAAUUCCGCGUGUAGCAGUGAGAUGCGUAGAUAUGCGGAGGAACACCGAUGGCGAAGGCAAUCCCCUGGGCCUGCACUGACGCUCAUGCACGAAAGCGUGGGGAGCAAACAGGAUUAGAAACCCUGGUAGUCC